rnacentral:rRNA from 1 species
AAAGCUCAAAUUUAAAAUCUGGCGGCCUCCGGUCGUCCGAGUUGUAGUCUGGAGAAGCGUUUUCCGUGCUGGACCGUGUACAAGUCCCUUGGAACAGGGCGUCGUAGAGGGUGAGAAUCCCGUCUUUGACACGGACUGCCAGUGCUCUGUGAUGCGCUCUCAAAGAGUCGAGUUGUUUGGGAAUGCAGCUCAAAAUGGGAGGUAAAUUCCUUCUAAAGCUAAAUACAGGCGAGAGACCGAUAGCGAA